CUUGCGCCAUGUGCGCACCCUAUUACUUGGAGACGAAGUAAUAAAAAAUAACAAUUAAUCAAAACAAUCUAAACCGUCCAUGAUAUUCCUAAUAAUAAUAAUAAGCAAAACUCAAAGUACUAGAUCGUUUGGAAUAGUGGGCCACGAUCAUGAGAACCCAUGGUGGGACUCACAUGACGAUCGGGUCCACUCCAAGAAAUCAAAACGUAGUCCACUAACUAGGGGUUCCUCCUUGGACGUCGUCAUCAAUCCAGAUCGAUGGUGGGGCCCUCCUUGUGUACGUGCGUACGCGGUGGGGGGGGCGUGCAUGUACACGAGAUGUCCCCAUCAAGUUUCCACUGAGAUCAGGAAAGCCCACUGAAUACCAAACUGCUCAAGCAAGGCCACCCUGAUUUUCCAAGCAAAGUUGUGUUAGAGUAGAAGGUGGACAGAAUCUUCCUAAUUGUAACACAACAGACAUCGAUUGGGGAAAGUAAAACCCCUUAGUUUUUAGAGGAUCCAACAUCAGGAUUUUAUUGCAGACAGCUGUACAUAUCAAUACAUUCAUCUUUGAAGGGAUGGCUGCUCUCCAAAAUUGAAAGAACGACUGGAAGUGACUUGUUUCUUGACACCAGGAUAUCAUAACAAGAGUGAACUGAAGAAUCCCCUUCUGGUUCUCUCCCAGAUCAUGCCAUCUUCUGUGACACUUGGACAUACACCUUUUCCGGCUCCCACUAAUUCAGUCAGCGAAUGCAGCUCAUCGUCCUGCAAGUUUCUAUUGAAUAUGGUGACCAUAUAACUUUACCUGCUUCUCAAUUGAAGAAUGAUGCACUCUUCCCCUUUUGAGUUGCAAGCCAGCAGAACAAAGGGGCAAACUUGCUAGCAAAAGGAAUAUUGCGAUGCCAUUUAUCCUCCCAGAAAUUGAGUCCAUCUCCUUUCGUAACUCAUUAUCGAAUACCAUUGGAGGAUAAAACUGCAUACAAACAGGCUGUAAGAUUUUAUUUUAUUUUCUUUUCAAACCAAAUUAAGCCAAAAGCAUGAUUGCAAAGGCAAAUGCAAAGCAAGCCAAUUCAAUUCAAAUACAGUUUGUAAUCAGACUUCUUCCAGUAAGAAUUCCUCCAUAAUGUUAGUAUUUCCCAAGUGAUUAAAUUACAUUAUCCAUAAUUUGGAUAAGACAAUCAAAGCAUGAGGAGCUAGAUGUAACCAUUAGUGUAUUCUCCUUGCUCAAAUCUAGGACUCUUGUAAAUAUCCGCUCAGUUUCAUCACAACUAGGUGGAGUUUCUUUAGGGGCCACAAUAAAUUGGAAUCUUCUAAACAAUUCUUACUUUAACACCAUGGGUACCAGUUAUUUUGAUGCCAAGAAAUCAUUUCUUGGUAAUGGUAACUACAGAUUAGAGGAUCUUGUACUAAUGUGGGUCAUGAUUGUACUUAAUGCAAGGGCACUUCUAAUCACUGUCUCCUAUCAUCAUAUUUAAAAGAAAAAAUAAAUAAA